rnacentral:tRNA from 1 species
UAGCCCGUACCCAACGGCAGGAGCGUACAAACAUUUCCCUUCGGAGGAAGAGGUUGCAGGUUCGAAUCCUGCCGGGCCGA